GACGAACGCUGGCGGCGUGCCUAACACAUGCAAGUCGAACGGUCCGGCACUCAACCGACCCUCAGUCUAGCUGUAGGUGAAGUUGAGUGCCGGAUAGUGGCGGACGGGUGAGUAACGCGUGGGCAACCAACCCUGUACAGUGGGAUAACACCGGGAAACCGGUGCUAAUACCGCAUGACACCUAGAUGGUGCAUACUGUUUAGGUUAAAGGAUUUAACCGGUACAGGACGGGCCCGCGUCCCAUUAGCUGGUUGGUGAGGUAACGGCUCACCAAGGCGACGAUGGGUAGCCGACCUGAGAGGGUGACCGGCCACACUGGGACUGAGACACGGCCCAGACUCCUACGGGAGGCAGCAGUGGGGAAUAUUGCGCAAUGGACGGAAGUCUGACGCAGCGACGCCGCGUGAGCGACGAAGGCCUUCGGGUCGUAAAGCUCUGUUCUUGGGACGAAGGAAAUGACGGUACCAAGGAGAAGCCCGGCGUAACUACGUG
rnacentral:rRNA from 1 species